UACGUAGGGGGCAAGCGUUGUCCGGAUUUAUUGGGCGUAAAGAGCUCGUAGGCGGCUCGUCGCGUCGACCGUGAAAACCCGCGGCUUAACUGCGGGCUUGCGGUUGAUACGGGCGGGCUAGAGUUCGGUAGGGGAGACUGGAAUUCCCGGUGUAGCGGUGAAAUGCGCAGAUAUCAGGAAGAACACCAAUGGCGAAAGCAGCUCUCUGGGACGGUACUGACGCUGAGACGCGAAAGCGUGGGGAGCGAACAGG
rnacentral:rRNA from 1 species